rnacentral:rRNA from 1 species
CGAACGCUGGCGGCGUGCCUAACACAUGCAAGUCGAACGAUAUAGUGGCGAACGGGUGAGUAACACGUAAGCAACCUACCCCUAAGACCGGGACAACCAGUCGAAAGAUUGGCUAAUACCGGAUGUGACUACCGGGAGACAUCUCCUGGUAAUUAAAUCUAGCAAUAGGCUUAAGGAUGGGCUUGCGUUCUAUCAGCUAGUUGGUGAGGUAAUGGCUCACCAAGGCAAUGACGGAUAGCUGGUCUGAGAGGAUGACCAGUCACAAGGGAACUGAGACACGGUCCCUACUCCUACGGGAGGCAGCAGUGAGGAAUUUUCCGCAAUGGGCGAAAGCCUGACGGAGCGACGCCGUGUGUGGGAUGAAGUUUUUCGGAACGUAAACCACUGUCAGAUGGGAAGAUAUUGACGGUACCAUCAGAGGAAGGCCCGGCUAACUAC